GACAGAGGUCCCGAGCGUUAGGCGGAAUCACUGGGCUUAAAGCGUGUGUAGGCGGCGGCCUAAGUACCUUGUGAAAUCCCACGGCUCACCCGUGGAACUGCUCGGUAUACUGGGUCGCUUGAGCCACUUAGGGGCUACCGGAACAAAUGGUGGAGCGGUGAAAUGCGUAGAUAUCAGGAGGAACACCGGUGGCGAAGGCGGGUCUCUGGGCCGAUACUGACGCUGAGGAGCGAAAGCAUGGGUAGCGAACAGG
rnacentral:rRNA from 1 species